rnacentral:lncRNA from 1 species
ACAGCAGAGAGUGUGAAAUUCAGGAAAAUUACAGCUCUGAAGAACUGGGAGAGAGGGCUGCAGGAAGAUGCAAACGCACACGCACACAUAGGGAUGAAGAGAAGGACUGCAUGCUUUGGAAGUGCUAAAGCCACAAGUCAUUUCAGCAGAAAGAACAAGCUUUCUGUGUCUGUUUUGCAAAGGCACGAUCUGAGGAAGAACAGAACUUGCUGUUUCACUCUGACAACUCUGAUGUACUCCCUGGAUGAUCACUUCAAACACCAAAAGUGCCUUCGCUACCAACCCCCAUUCCUGUCUUUCCCAUCCUCUAUUAUUUUAAGCAUAGGAGACACGCUAGAUCACCUUUGAACCGAAGCUGUGUGCUUAUUACCAGUUUCACAGCCACAGCUGGGAAUCUGCUUUCCAGAAGGAAAUUAAAU